rnacentral:rRNA from 1 species
UGCAGUCGAACGGUGACGACGGGGCUUGCUCUGUCUGAUCAGUGGCGAACGGGUGAGUAACACGUGAGUAACCUGCCCCCGACUCUGGAAUAACCGUGGGAAACGACGGCUAAUACCGGAUAUGAGACGCACGGGCAUCUGUGUGUCUGGAAAGAUUUAUCGGUCAGGGAUGGACUCGCGGCCUAUCAGCUUGUUGGUGGGGUAAUGGCCUACCAAGGCGACGACGGGUAGCCGGCCUGAGAGGGCGACCGGCCACACUGGGACUGAGAUACGGCCCAGACUCCUACGGGAGGCAGCAGUGGGGAAUAUUGCACAAUGGGCGCAAGCCUGAUGCAGCGACGCCGCGUGAGGGAUGAAGGCCUUCGGGUUGUAAACCUCUUUCAGCAGGGAAGAAGCGAAAGUGACGGUACCUGCAGAAGAAGCGCCGGCUAACUACGUGCCAGCAGCCGCGGUAAUACGUAGGGCGCAAGCGUUGUCCGGAAUUAUUGGGCGUAAAGAGCUCGUAGGCGGUUUGUCGCGUCUGCUGUGAAAACCUGAGGCUCAACCUCGGGCUUGCAGUGGGUACGGGCAGACUAGAGUGCGGUAGGGGUGACUGGAAUUCCUGGUGUAGCGGUGGAAUGCGCAGAUAUCAGGAGGAACACCGAUGGCGAAGGCAGGUCACUGGGCCGCAACUGACGCUGAGGAGCGAAAGCAUGGGGAGCGAACAGGAUUAGAUACCCUGGUAGUCCAUGCCGUAAACGUUGGGCACUAGGUGUGGGGCUCAUUCCACGAGUUCCGUGCCGCAGCAAACGCAUUAAGUGCCCCGCCUGGGGAGUACGGCCGCAAGGCUAAAACUCAAAGAAAUUGACGGGGGCCCGCACAAGCGGCGGAGCAUGCGGAUUAAUUCGAUGCAACGCGAAGAACCUUACCAAGGCUUGACAUACACCGGAAAAGUGCAGAGAUGUGCUCCCCGCAAGGUCGGUGUACAGGUGGUGCAUGGUUGUCGUCAGCUCGUGUCGUGAGAUGUUGGGGUUAAGUCCCGCAAC